UACGUAGGGUGCAAGCGUUGUCCGGAAUUAUUGGGCGUAAAGAGCUCGUAGGCGGUCUGUCGCGUCUGCUGUGAAAACUCGGGGCUUAACCCCGGGCCUGCAGUGGGCACGGGCAGACUAGAGUGCGGUAGGGGAGACUGGAAUUCCUGGUGUAGCGGUGAAAUGCGCAGAUAUCAGGAGGAACACCGGUGGCGAAGGCGGGUCUCUGGGCCGUAACUGACGCUGAGGAGCGAAAGCGUGGGGAGCGAACAGG
rnacentral:rRNA from 1 species